UGCAGAAACUAUGUAUUCUAAUACAGGGGUUGGCCAAAGGGUGCUUAGCUGGUAGACUACAACAACUGAAGCUUUGAUUGCCAGGCGCCAUGGGAGUCUUAUUUCUAAUUGAAUGGUCUACCUUUUGGCUACGGCCAUUCAUUUGUAUUUGCUAACUUUUACAGUCGAAAUAUACCCCCUUUUCAGUUUUUUUCAGCUUCAUUUCGACAAAGGAG